rnacentral:rRNA from 1 species
GACGAACGCUGGCGGCGUGCUUAACACAUGCAAGUCGAACGGAAAGGCCCUGCUUUUGUGGGGUGCACGAGUGGCGAACGGGUGAGUAACACGUGAGUAACCUGCCCUUGACUUUGGGAUAACAUCAGGAAACUGGGGCUCAUACCGGAUAUGAUCUCCUGCUGCAUGUUGGGGGUUGGAAAGUUUCGGCGGUGGGGGCUGGAUUCGCGGGUUAUCAGCUUGUUGGUGGGGUAGUGGCGUCCCAAGGCUUUGACGGGUAGGCGGCCUGAGAGGGGGACCGGGCACAUUGGGACUGCGGUACGCAGCAGAAGGCUAUCGGCCGCAAUAGUCGGGAACAUGGCAGAACGGGGCGAAGCCUGAGAUGAAGAUCUCCGGAUCGGGAAGCUGGGCUUUUGGGUAUAAACAGAUUUGGAAUUUACCGUAGCCGGAGUGACGGUAACGGGUCAAGAAGCACCGGCUAACUACGUG